UUCAGGGCCUUCGGAGAAUAUGCAGAAUGUGUAAGUGCCACACUUUUGAAGGCAACAAUGUUUGGCUCCUUGCCUAAGGAUAGAGGCAGAUAUCAUGGGAACCCAGGAGUGUGUGUGACCCCUACAGCCAGCACUAAUGAGUAUGGAGAGCCUUCCAUUUAUCAUCCCUUUUAAACGUAGCCUUUGUGUAGGCUAUCCAGCUUCUGGACUUUGCCUGGUUUUUUAUUCAGUACCAUGAUUUACCAUCCCUCAAUUGUUAUAGAAUAAAGUAUGUAUCUCCAGCAGUUGUAUUAUUCUGUAUUAUUAUUCUGUAUCUGCAGCCUCUAGGCUAAUUAGAUAACUUGGUAUAUAGCCAAACAAGCGAUUUAGUAUCUUCUUGAGGAAAUUCAAUUACUACAGGUGCUCUGAAUCACCUGAGAUGUCUAGGGCAAUGACUGUGAUCAUUCAAGGUAAAACUCAUAUAAUCAGUGGUUUUUUUUUUAAUGUACACACACACACACACACACACACACACACACACACGAAUGAGGACUAUUUGCUUGCUGGCUGUAACCUUAUUUAAAUUGGUAUUAUAGCUAGCCCUUCCAUAAUGAAUCUUCACUGUCUUCAGUGCAGGUAGCAGAAUCCUCUUUGUGUUUCUUUCAGAAAGUUUCCAUGCAGAGUUAGCUCCAGCUACAGCAAUAUGUCAUAGGCAUUGAACUUUGGGGCAAUGACUGGUCAGAGCUCCAAGCCAAAGAGUCCCCCGAAGAGAGCACUCUACUCACCUCCCUCACUGGGAACUAAUAUCUGGAAUAGUACCAUACACAUCUUUGUCAUACUGAGCUUCCUUGUCUUACUAAAAUAAAGUUUUCUUUAAGAAGACUCUUCAGUGAGGAUGACUUUAAGAACAUGGCCAGGACAACCAGUGUGCUCAAGGGAGGAGAUGGCAGACUCAUUGGUUUGGCAGCAGCCCAGGCCAGUUUUUCCCCUGCAACUUUCCAAGCUUGUUUCUGUAGUGGUUGGAGCCAAAUAACCACUCGUAGACUUUGUUAUAGAAGGAAUGGUGAAGUCAUAUACAAAGAGCAGAAUGGGGUCAGCUAGAUGCUUUCUAUAGGUAGCUAAACUCAUCAUUUAGUCAAACUAGGAUGAACUGUGAUAGGCAGCUAAAGGUUCUUUUCUGUGUGGGGAGAAAAGGAGAGGAUGGGGCAGAGAUAGUAUUGUAUCUUCCCUAUUCGUAUUACCUAUUCAGUGUUUUCAGGCCUGUUCUCUCUGUUAGACUGUAGACUCCUGCAAGGGUACUUGUGACUUGCUGUUCCUGAAACAUUUGUGUGUCAACCACACCCCACACUAGACCCCACCUUCCAUAGCCGCGCGUCUGUUACUUGCACAUAAAGCCUCUGUUCCCAAAUGUUCCCAGUGGAGGAGGUGGCCUAAUUUGGGGUCACUGGCUUCCCUCUAGGGGCAGUUGUCUUGGAACUGUCUGAAGUUUGAACACAGGGUUGAAGGGCAGACAGUAUGGUUAACAAUCUUAUUAUUUCUCUUGGUAUUUCCUUACCAUGACAGUAAAGGUUGCCCAUCAAUUUGGGCCUCUUUUGGCCUGUCUUUUAAUAGCCAGACCAACCAGUCUUUCCACGGAGAACCUCUUUUUUUCUCUUUUUUAUAUCCCCCCACCCAUUUUCUUUUGAUUAUUUGGGGAGCUGAAAUUCCCAGAAGUCUUCCUAAGCCAUCUUUUCCAAAAUUAUGCAUAGAGACUGCUAGUUACCUACCACUCUAGUCAUUCUUCUUAUGAACAGAAAAAAAAAAAAAAAAAAACUACAUUGUCUGUCCUCCACUACCAGUAAGGAUGACACAGUGUGACACAGUCUUGUCAAUGAGGGGUAACUAAAUGUGUUAAGAGACGUUUCUAGUAAAGCUCCUUAAAAAGGGGUAACUUCAGAGCACACACACUUUUGCUCUAAUUUCUGCCCCUUCUUCCUGUCUGUAUCUUAGGGGAGAUGCUAGACAUGGAACAGGCAUCUUGCAACAAUACAACCAUGUGAGAAAAGCCAAGUGAAAAGCUGGGGUCACAUCUGAAAAGACUGGGUGAACAGGACACAUAGGCACUGUGUGUGAACUCAAAACUGCAUAAUUUUUGCACACUGCCACCAUCCCUGCUGCCUUAGGUUGUAAAGAAAACAAAUCCCUUUGUGUACAACAGAUCUGUACUGCUCUUGUAUCUCUAACACUGUUUGCAGGAGGACUGUGCUGCCAUAAUUUACUCUUACCAUCUGCGACUUAGACAUUUUUUUACACCUAAAUUCUUUAAAAAAAUAGCCGUGUGUACCUCUUUGCUGUAAGUUCAAAACUUGACAUUUCUUAUCAAUGGAAGGUCUAAGAUCCUCCAGUGGAGUACAGGUAUACAAUUCGAAAACAAUUCGGUUGACAAUAAGUUCGUUAAUUUUGACAAUUAGACUUUAAAAAUUAGUACCACAGAUAUUUUAGAAUAGUGGUACUAUAAAUGUACCAUGAAAUGGUUUUGUAACACAUUACCAAUUUUAAAUGUGUAGAUCCAUAUUUUAAGUUUUGUGGAGAUGAAUUACUCUCUUUUUAGAUCCCUAUUUAUUUUCAGCCAGUCAUUCCAGCUUUGUAUUAUUUGUAAUAGUGAAACACCGAAACAGGUUCAGACCUAAAAAUAUAAAGGGUUAUUGCGACAGCUUACGGAGUUACACAAAAGUUAUGGAUUACUUAAUUGUGGCCACAAAAUAAAAUCUACAACUCCCUCAGUUUACAGAAAGAUCACUUCUGUAUGCACAUAUGUAUUAUCAAGCCGUUACUGUUAUUUUCCUAGAUAAAUGGGCUAAUAGAAACUUUUAGUGUCCUAUUUAAUUUUUCUGUAAUGAACUGUUAUUAACUUUUCAUAAGAACGAUUUUUAAAAAUGAAAAGACUUCCUCUUGAUGGACAUUUAACAAGAGAAUCAAAAAGUGUUGCUGAGAAAUGAAGAGCAUUCAGGAACAGCAGGAACCAGUGGGCGCUGACUUUUGCUGCCGAGAUACCAUCACCGAUGACCCAGACUGCUCCAGGCUCAUGAACUGCUCCUGAGCUGCUUGUAGGACCUGCGUGGCCACGAGCCCUGGCUGCAAUGCCGGAGAUGCCCUCUCGUGUCUGCCUUUACUUCCACAUGUUGCCUUGUCCCAUCCCAUGCUCACGUGUCUCUCUGAUGCUUAAAAAGUGUGCUUUCGUGUAUUCAAUAAACGCUAGAAUUUGAGUUAUAUGCCAAA